ACCCCCCCCCCACCCCCCCACCCCGCUCGGGCUGCGGCCUUCGGCAAGUUUGGGCACCUCCCGGGCGCAGGCGCUGGGGACCACGAGAGGGACUGAGCCUGGCCCUCGGGGCGCCCACAGUCUGGGGAGAAAGUAACCACGGUUCACAAAAAUGGAUCAUCUCGGCGAGUGGGCCAAUGGAAAUCCUAACGCCUCUGACCGGAUUUCUUUGUCAGUGUGGAGACGGCUCGGAGCCUCUUCUGAAAACACCAUCGAGAGCAUAAGAGGGGAGGGGGAAGAAGACGGAGACGGGGAGCGAGAGGGAGAGAAUCUUAAGCAGGCUGCAGGCUCAGCACGGAGCCCGAUGUCGGUCGAUCCCAUGACCCUGCAUUCGGGACCUGAGCCAGAACAAAAAAUUGGACAUUCAGCCGGCUGAGCCACCCAGGCUUUCUUAAGGGUUUGUAAACAUUUGUCCAUAGGCCAGAGCCCCCAGGAGAAGGUGACGUUGUCCUGCCUUUGCAUACAGGGUCAUUUUAGUUCUCUAGUGGGGCUGGAGACCCUAAGUCCCUCUCCUCACGCCUGUGUCUUGCUUGAGGACGG